CGAAAGAGACAGGAGACGAAUCAGAACUUCAGUUACAGCUGAAGAGCUCAUCCUAUGACACACAGAUAGUUUUACAACUAAGGAGUAUCUCUGGAAGUUCUCCUUAGGAAGAUUAAGACACCACCUGCAAAAACAUGCUCAAGGUUAAAGAAAGGAGUGACCUGAGCAGACUAAAGUUGGCCGGGUAUUUUGCAUCGUGUGCCUCCUGGGCCCUGAACAAGCUGCUGG